rnacentral:rRNA from 1 species
UCGAUUAGAGUUUGAUUCUGGCUCANNNNGAACGCUGGCGGCGUGCUUAACACAUGCAAGUCGAGCGGUAACAGGCGUAGCAAUACGUGCUGACGAGCGGCGAACGGGUGAGUAAUGCUUCGGAAUCUGCCUGGUAGUGGGGAAUAACCAGUCGAAAGACUGGCUAAUGCCGCAUACGACCUUUUUCCGUAUUGGAAUUUGGUGAAAGCGGGGGAUCGCAAGACCUCGCGCUAAUAGAUGAGCCGAAGUCGGAUUAGCUAGUUGGUGAGGUAACGGCUCACCAAGGCGACAAUCCGUAGCUGGUCUGAGAGGACGACCGGCCACACUGGGACUGAGACACGGCCCAGACUCCUACGGGAGGCAGCAGUAGGGAAUCUUCCGCAAUGGACGAAAGUCUGACGGAGCAACGCCGCGUGAGUGAUGAAGGUUUUCGGAUCGUAAAACUCUGUUGUUAGGGAAGAACAAGUACGAGAGUAACUGCUCGUACCUUGACGGUACCUAACCAGAAAGCCACGGCUAACUACGUGCCAGCAGCCGCGGUAAUACGUAGGUGGCAAGCGUUGUCCGGAAUUAUUGGGCGUAAAGCGCGCGCAGGCGGUCCUUUAAGUCUGAUGUGAAAGCCCACGGCUCAACCGUGGAGGGUCAUUGGAAACUGGGGGACUUGAGUGC